CAGCCCAUAGUUAAAUAAUAAUUAGGAUUUUGGGGAUCUUAGGUCCUGCAUUAGCAGGUGGGCUGA
rnacentral:tRNA from 2 species